GCAAGGUCUUCCGUUCCUCAGGGUAUAGGAGGUGUCAGUACCAAUAGAAAACCAGGCUGAAGACCUGUCAUGAGUAAGGUCAUUUCCAAGACCCUCUUCCCCACCUGGAACCAGUUGCUGCUGUUAAAUGACUUGGUGCCUUAUGGAGACCAGAGGAGUUGAUGGGGUCCCUGCCUUUAGUGGUGGUGGAGCUGUAUGACGACAACGCAGUGGUUGGGAAUCUCUUCAGACUUGCCUUCUGCAAAUCACUGGGUACGGAAACCUUACUGCAGAUGUGGAAAAACUGCACAAAAAAUCCUGUGAUUCUGAUAAUGCCCAACGUGAAGAA